GCACUGCGGAUGAGUCCCAAACAGGACGAAACAGGUGUCUAGUGC
rfam:Echinostoma caproni strain Egypt genome assembly, scaffold: ECPE_scaffold0014441